UACGAAGGGUGCAAACGUUGCUCGGAAUCAUUGGGCGUAAAGCGCACGUAGGCGGCUCCAAAAGUCGGAUGUGAAAUCCCUCGGCUCAACCGAGGAUGUGCAUCCGAAACUGCGGAGCUUGAGUAUGGAAGAGGGUCGCGGAAUCCCCGGUGUAGAGGUGAAAUUCGUAGAUAUCGGGGGGAACACCAGUGGCGAAGGCGGCGACCUGGGCCAAUACUGACGCUGAGGAGCGAAAGCGUGGGUAGCAAACAGG
rnacentral:rRNA from 1 species